rnacentral:rRNA from 1 species
GCAGCCGCCGCGGGAAUACAGAGGGUGCGAGCGUUAAUCGGAUUUACUGGGCGUAAAGCGUGCGUAGGCGGCUUCUUAAGUCGGAUGUGAAAUCCCUGAGCUUAACUUAGGAAUUGCAUUCGAUACUGGGAAGCUAGAGUAUGGGAGAGGAUGGUAGAAUUCCAGGUGUAGCGGUGAAAUGCGUAGAGAUCUGGAGGAAUACCGAUGGCGAAGGCAGCCAUCUGGCCUAAUACUGACGCUGAGGUACGAAAGCAUGGGGAGCAAACAGGAUUAGAUACCCCAGUAGUCCCUGUCUCUUAUAA